CCAUGAGGGGAAUCAUCCUAGCAUUUCUGCUUGCUGUGGCGGGCUCUGAACGAUCAGAUAUAGAGCCCGUUUUUAGCCAAAGCAAAACUAUUGUAUAUAACUAUGAGGCUGUUAUUCUGAAUGGAUUUCCUGAAAAUGGCUUGGCACGGUCUGGUAUUAAAGUGAACUGCAAAUUUGAGAUCAAAUCCUUUGCUCAGAGGAUGUAUCUUCUCAAGAUUCAAUCUCCAGAAAUAAAGGAGUACAAUGGUGUGUGGCCAAAGGAUCCAUUUACGCUGUCAACCAAGUUGACAAAAAUAAUUGCUGAUCAGCUUACAAAACCUGUAAAGUUUGAAUACCACAAUGGACGGGUUGGAAACAUCUAUGCCUCCGAUGAUGUCUCAGACACUGUUGUCAACAUUUACAGAGGAAUCUUGAACUUGUUCCAAAUGACCAUCAAAAAGACACAAAAUGUUUAUGACUUGCAAGAGUCAAGCAUUGGUGGGGUCUGCCACACCAGAUAUGUUGUUCAAGAGGACAGAAGAGGAGAUCAAAUAAUUGUUGAUAAGUCUACAGACCUGAACAACUGUCAAGACAAAGUAUCUAAGAUUGUCGGCAUUGCCUUCUUGGAGUCCUGCAUAGCUUGUAAACAUCUGGGAAAAAAUGUAAAUGGAACAGCAACAUACACCUACAAGAUGAAGAAGAUGGACCAAGGCGCUCUUAUAAUGGAAGUUUCAGCACGGCAGAUAUAUCAUUAUUCUCCAUUUGCUGAACUCAAUGGUACUGCUGUUAUGGAGGCCAGACAAGUAAUAACUUGGGCAGGAACCAAAGGUGGUCAGACGUAUGCACCACAGAUUCAGCUGCAGAACCGUGGUGGGCUUCAUUAUCAGGUGACUUCUGAGGUCUACCAAAUUCCUAUCCAUCUUAUGAGAACCAAGAGCCCUGAAGGACAGAUUGGUAUCAGAGGAGAAGGACUAGAAAAAAUGCUCAGAAAACGAAACGUUCCAUUUUCAGAGUACCCAAUACGUAAGACGAUCACGCAGAUUGUGAAAACACUAGUGGGAUGGAAAGCACUGCCUUCCCAAAUUCCUCUUUUGUCUGGCUAUAUCAAAAUAUUCGGUCAAGAGCUUUCUUUCUCUGAAGUCAACAAAAAAUUCAAUCAAACCAUUAUACAGGCACUCAAUGAGCCAGCUGAAAGACAUACAAUAGUGAGGAAUGUGAUGAACAAGCUUCUUGGAGGGUUUGCUGGACAGUAGUGAGAGUCUGGUGAUUCGGGUUACAUGAGCCGGAAUUGUCUCAUUACGCUUCUCCGUAACCCCACCAACGAGGCACAGAAGCGCAACAAUCAGGUUCACAGGCAAACUAGGGCUGUAGUGGAAAGGAUGUUUGGGCUCCUCAAAAUGCACUUUAGAUGCUUGGAUAGGUCUGGAGGAGCCCUCCAAUACAGCCCUAGUAAAGUGGCGAAGAUCAUUAUAGCCUGCAGCGUCCUUCAUAACAUAGCUCAGUAGGCUGGGAAGCUACAGAACAUCUAGGUGCCCCCAUUCCAGGAUGAGGCGGUCAAUGUCAGAGACAACAUCAUUAACCGCCACUUCAGAAUGUAAAUUAUACAUCAUAUGUCUCUGGCAUUGCCUUCUGUGAUGACUUCACCACCUGAUUUUUUGAGACAAUAUCAGAUGAGAGAUUUACUUCAUCUACAGACUGAAAGUGAAGAAUACCAAUGUGAUCAUGUCUGUGGCAUUGUCUUUCAACUGUGCUGACCUCUACAACAUAUAAAAACACCUUCACAUGAUGGUAUUUCACAAUCUUCUAUUUUGAAAGUGAUGAAUGUGACACAAAAUGCAGAUAAAAUGAUAUUUGGAAUCAAACCGACUUUUAAAGAUCAUACAUCUGAUUUUCAAGUUUGCUGAAUUCCCAAAAGAAUUUAUAUUGAUGAUGGUGCUGGAUCCUCAACCUCGGGGUUGUCACAGCCUGGAAUGUCUAAUUAUACUUCACUCUUACUCUUCACAUUCACAUUGAUCUAUAUGAACAUGGAUCCUCUAAUUAAAUUUGAAGUUACUUUGACAAGCCCUGAGGGAUCCGGCACUAGUCCAGCCCUGCAUGAGCAGGAUGAUGAUCUGAAUGUUACAUGUGUGGCGGAGGAGAAAGUGGUUCCCUUGGAGGCUGAUGAUAGACCGUCCACUUCUGGGCAUCACCCUGUCAACCCUUCUUUACCUCCCCCCCCCCUGCCCCCCCUUGCCGCUCUUCCCGUCAUUCCCGUCCUCUCCCUUCCCAAACUGCCCCGCCACUCUACCCAUCUUUCCCAUCCUGCUCCUGCCCCACCUGCUCAGGCCCCAACUUCACAGGCCCCACCUGUGCAGGCCUCAACUGCUCAGACCCACAUUUUCCACCUGUGCAGGCCCCAACUGCACAGGCCCCACCUUCCCCACCUGUGCAGGCCCCACCUGAGCAUGCCCCACCUUCCUCACCUGUGCAGGACCCACCUGAGCAUGCCCCACCAUUCCACACCCAUCCUCCCCACCAACCCGUUUUCCCUGAUCCUCACCUUCCUCUGCCUGGGUAUCUUGUUCUCCUUCCCAGCCACAGAUGUUGUGACUCAGCAUGGUUGAUGCUAGAGGCUCUAGCUAGAUUGGAGGGAUCCAUGCUGAGUUGCCAUCAGCGGCUGGGAAAGAUGCAGGACUACAUGGUUCUGCAGCUGCAGCUUAAUCGGCUUAUGCUUAAUUGCAUGCUCCGUAUGGAAGCAAGGCAGCAAGCUGCAGCUGCAGAACCUCAGGCUGAGGAACGUGAGGAGGAUGCCCCAGUAAGUGGAGAGUCUGGAGAUGCCCCAAGUGAGCAGGAGUAACUCCUCCAUCCAUAUAACAUGUUCUGAUGGUUGGCCAUUGGCUUAGUUUUUGUUUUCUUUUUAUUGUUGUGCCUGUUGCACUUUGUUUGCCCUUGUCAUAUGGCUCCAAAGGGGCUAUGUUGGCCUUUGUUUGCCCUUGUCAACUCCCUGAAAGGACUGUGAUGCACUAUGUCACCUUGGCAGAUGGCUACAAAGGGGCUAUAUUAUCAUUCUCACUUAUUGGUCCUAUUAUCUUAUUUAAUUAUGUUUUAUGAC